GUGCUUGCUUCAGCAGCACAUAUGCUAAAAUUGGAACGAUACAGAGAAGAUUAGCAUGGCCCCUGCACAAGGACGACACGCAAAUUCGUGAAGCCUUCCGUAUUUUU
ensembl:snRNA U6 U6 spliceosomal RNA